rnacentral:lncRNA from 1 species
CAAACACUUAAGGAUCAAACUUGACAGCAAAAUGCGCCGAUUCAAGAAGCAUCAGUGUUGCAGUAAAUGACAUGAUAUAAAGGUACUAAAUAAUACCAAGAUCCAUCCCCAUUUCCAAACUGCCAAAAACAGAAUUUAAUGUUCAGAAGUUUGUUGUGUUGAGAUCUGAAGUAAUCUGUAGUUGAGCUUCAAUGUAUCAUCCAAAAGAUAUUGACAAAUACAUAAACAAGUCUACCUCUAUACCUGGUAGAACUGCCUGUAUUUUUAUUUCAUUGUAUCCUAUCUUGUGCAAUUGUGUUUUAGAUUGUAACUUUAAGGUCUCCUAUUUGGACUUGUUGCGCAUAAACCGUUCCAUAAAAUCUUCGGCGAUUAGGUUUGGUUUUACUUCAUGGAACAGUCCUACUUUCUUCAUCUUGGACUUCUGAAAAUUACUGGUAAAAAAUAAAAAUAAGUAGAGUUAGUAACUAGACUGAUCUGAUACCCAAAAAAGGAGUAGUUCUUUGGUUGCAGCACAAGACAUCAACAGAAAAACAAGCGCAUAGGCUAUAGCACAAACUUCUGUUUUAUAUUUUUCAUGCAUUAUUUCCCUUUUAGACAAAAAAAGGUUGCCAGAUGGACAAAGCAUCCUGCAUUUACGCAGAGUAUAGGGAAGGGCCGCACCCUAAGA